CCCUGGCGACACACUUCUCUGUUUCCACACGAAGCUCACUCCCACCUUCCCAGCAGCCUCCAUGGCCGUCAGGCUGGCCUGCAUCCCUGCCGGGAGGAGCCUUCCACACCGGCAGAGCCGGAGUUUCCAAGGACGCUGGGAGGGGUCAGAGGGAGAGGACGGGGCAAAGCGACGCCAGGAUCCACGGCGCCGCCCGGCAGGGAGGUGGACUCACCGCGCCAGGGGCAAUGAUUCCACACCGCGGUAAAAGGAGCGGAGGCCGCAGCUACCUCGGAGCAGGAGCUUCGGUAAGCGGGCUCGAAGCGUCUGUCUCGCCAGGCGUCCCGGAAGAGGCUCACACACCCUCCUGAGACAGAAUCGGCCCGCAAAGCACAGCUGCUCAGGGUCCCUCCCGAAGAAUCCUGAGGUGCGAGCACACUUGUGGGAAGCUGCCGAGGCAGGGGCGGUCUCUCAGGGAAACGUGAGAAGGGGCUCAGCGGAUGACGGCGGGCUGAGCCCUACGCAGCACGGCCGAGGACAGGAUGAGUUCUGGUCCCCACAGUCACGCGUUCAGAUGAUGACACGCUGAAGUCACUCGGCAAGGACCAGGAAGCUGGUUAGUGACAGAGACAGGACCCACCCGCAGUCUGGUGAGAAGUACUUGGGAUGUGGCAGACACGGGCGAGGCAACCGACUGCAGCGGUACAGGCGACCGUUCACCUGGGGAGGCAGCCUGGGCCCCUCACCUACCGUCUGAUCUUCCGGACAUUCAAAACUCUCCAGUAUGAAGCGAAACAAACAACAACAAGCAAAUCAAAAGCCCUGUGUAGUUCGUAAGACCACCAUGUGAGCAGUGUUUCCUGACACGUGGAAGAGAUGAACGUCCUUACUGCCACAGACCAGGGCGGUCAGAGAGAAUCUAAAUAACAAACCUAAGUUUCAUCCGGUUUAUUACCAUUAGAUCAAACCCCCUUUUUGCCCUAUCAUAUUUCUUCAUUGAGUCUGCAAUAAAAAAACUCGUUGAACUUUUGAGUAUUUUUUUUAUCAUGUGGAACUUAGAAUUUGUAUGUUUUCUUUUGUUAAUUUUGUUGUGGUCAUUGUCACUAGGUAACCAUAAAUCUAAGAUGGGUAGAAGGAAAGUUAUUUUUCUCUCCUGCAUGACAAUUUGUUUUCUGAAAGAUGGCUGAAUGCAUGAUUGGUAAGAUUCAUACCCAAGAAAGAGGCCACACUGGUUGAGGGGGAAGGAAUUGAGUAUAUGUUAACAGUGGCCUAUGGAUUACUGUAUACCCUUACAGCAUUUGAAUUUUAAACACAUAAACAUAGUACCUCUCCCAAAUCGUAGUAUGAUGCUAUUUCUUUAAAGAAUUUUUGUUGUUGUUCUCAAGUUGAAGAGAAAAUAUACACAUGCUGUAUUAUAACAUGACGGAAAGGUGAAGUGCCCCAGGAGAGGCACAGAUGAACUUGUGUCCUGAGCGGGGUGGGAGGGAAAGGGCUGGUGGAGUUGGGCAGAAGGGUGGGCCUGUUUUAUUUACACACACUUCCGGGGAAAUGGAGUGAGUGUUCUAGUCUCCAAGUUCAGGUCAUACUCAGCAGCACCUCGGCCCGCCCGGGAAAUUUGGAUUGUUCCCAAAGGGCACUGAUGGCACGCUGUGAUAGUCAAGGGUCUAACGUUACUAGUUAGAGGCUCAAGAGCUCACCACCCUCCUCUGUGACCUGCUCCACAGUAAAUCAGCUGUGUUUAACACCACGGUGUGACAGCAGCAGAUAGGUAAUGCUUGCUGUUUCUAGCAAGCUCUAGUACAGAUGGGAGACUCACCUUGGACUCUGCUGGCAGAUUUGCCUCAGCUCCUGGGAAACCAAAUUCAUUUGUCCUCGUCCGUCUUCUUAAACGGUGAAGCGGACCUUUUAGAUUCCUCCACCUGUGAUACGGCCAGUGAAUAAAGUCCCAAGGCAGCAUCCAACUGGGGCUACAUCAAAAGUUUUAGGUUUUUUUCUUCCAAAAAGCCAAAUAAUGACAUGAAAUUUAAGUUCAACAACUGCCAGAGUCAUCCAGUUAACUGGUAAAGCACAUGGAACCCUUCCACCUUUAUUUUCCAAAAUGGAAGAAAAAUCUCAGGUAACCAUUAACAUGAGCCCUUUCCAGACCAACUAGAAGACAGUGUCUUGAACAUACCAUAACUUGAGAGGAAAAAAAGAUUGUUAUUGCCCAAAUCACUAGUCUCUAUUAAAAUUUCUUUCUCUUUAAAUGUAGUAUUCGACUUACAUUUCCCUCUGCUUUCUUGUUCUUACUCCCCAGGAUCAAUAACUACUGAAUUUUGUGCUUGUAAUUUCCAGUUGGUAACUUGUCUUUUGAACACUCACUGUAGCCUUGUUUUAUUUUUAGUGGACAGAAUUUCUUUAAUACAGUCACACAAAUCAAGUUUCUUUUACAAUGAAAUCUUUUGGUACUAUUAUAUGUCUAAAAAACCCCACGACUGGAAAAUUACAAGAUACCAUUAUACAUUUUCUUUCCACAUUUGAAAAUUUAAACAAAAGGGAAUCAAUCUUUGUAAAUGAGGUGGGUCAGGGGACCAACAUCAAUUUUUUCCCCUUUAUACGUUUACUGAUUGUUCCUGAAGUUUCUGAACAGGCUUAUUGCUUUAAAUGGCGUUUCUGUCACACACCAUGGUUCCAUGUGCUUACUGGGAUGGGUCUUUUGACUCUUCCGUUAGUCGGUCUACAUCUCUCAGAACUUGAAGAUCUGGUGAAGAAAGUCCCUUCCCCUUACCACAUUGUUCUCCCCUGGCUUUUCUUCACCUUUACUUACCCUGGAAUUAGUAUGUGAAGUCUCACAAAAAUAAGGCUGACAUAUUGACUGGAACUGCGUUGCACCCAUAGAUCAAUACGGGAAGAAAUGAGACCUAAUAGUAGGCCUAUAAAUGUAGGGAUCUCUAUUUCCAUCUUUAUUGUUUUUCACUGUAAUUGUGUAAUAGUUUGCAUAUGGGUCUCAUAUGUUUUGAUCCAAUUUAUUCAUGUCUUUCA